rnacentral:rRNA from 1 species
CACGUAGGGUGCGAGCGUUGUCCGGAAUUAUUGGGCGUAAAGAGCUCGUAGGCGGUGUGUCACGUCGUUCGUGAAAACCUGCAGCUUAACUGUGGGCGUGCGGUCGAUACGGGCAUCACUGGAGUUCGGCAGGGGAGACUGGAAUUCCUGGUGUAGCGGUGAAAUGCGCAGAUAUCAGGAGGAACACCGGUGGCGAAGGCGGGUCUCUGGGCCGAUACUGACGCUGAGGAGCGAAAAGCGUGGGGAGCAAACAGG